GACGAACGCUGGCGGCGUGCUUAACACAUGCAAGUCGAACGGAAAGGCCCUGCUUUUGUGGGGUGCUCGAGUGCCGAACGGGUGAGUAACACGCGAGUAACCUGCCCUUGACUUUGGGAUAACUUCAGGAAACUGGGGCUAAUAUCGGAUAGGAGCUCCUGCUGCAUGGUGGGGGUUGGAAAGAUUCGGCGGUUGUGGAUCGUCUCGCGGCUUAUGAGCUUGUUAGUGGGGUAGUGGCAUACCAAGGCUUCGACGGGUAGCCGGCCUGGGAGGGUGACCGGCCUCAAUGGGACUGAGAUACGGCCCAGUAGCGUACGGGCCGCAGUAGUGGAGAGUCUUGCGCAAUGAGGGGAAGUCUGAUACAGAGACGCCGCGUGCGGGAUGCCGGCCUUCGGGUGGUAAACCGCUUUCUCCUUUACCGAAGCGGGCGUGACGGUAAUGGGUAAAGAAGCACCGGCUAACUACGUG
rnacentral:rRNA from 1 species